rnacentral:rRNA from 1 species
GACGAACGCUGGCGGCGUGCUUAACACAUGCAAGUCGAACGAGAGCGUAGAGACAGCUUGCUUUUUCUACAAUCUAGUGGCAAACGGGUGAGUAACGCGUAAACAACCUGCCCUACGGAUGGGGACAACAGCUGGAAACGGCUGCUAAUACCGAAUACGUUCCGAAAGUCGCAUGACUAUCGGAAGAAAGGAUGGCCUCUAUUUAUAAGCUAUCGCCGGAGGAGGGGUUUGCGUCUGAUUAGCUAGUUGGAGGGGUAACGGCCCACCAAGGCGACGAUCAGUAGCCGGUCUGAGAGGAUGAACGGCCACAUUGGAACUGAGACACGGUCCAGACUCCUACGGGAGGCAGCAGUGGGGAAUCUUCCGCAAUGGGCGAAAGCCUGACGGAGCAACGCCGCGUGAGUGAAGACGGCCUUCGGGUUGUAGAGCUCUGUUAUACGGGACGAAUAAUCUUGUGGUUAAUACCCAUGAGAAGUGACGGUACCGUAAGAGAAAGCCACGGCUAACUACGUG